rnacentral:rRNA from 1 species
AGUAAUACAUAAGUAACCUGCCCUAGACAGGGGGAUAACUAUUGGAAACGAUAGCUAAGACCGCAUAGGUACGGACACUGCAUGGUGACCGUAUUAAAAGUGCCUCAAAGCACUGGUAGAGGAUGGACUUAUGGCGCAUUAGCUGGUUGGCGGGGUAACGACCCACCAAGGCGACGAUGCGUAGCCGACCUGAGAGGGUGACCGGCCACACUGGGACUGAGACACGGCCCAG